CCAGUUGCUGAUUCAGUGAUUUGGAAUGAUAUGAAGAAGCUGACAGCAGGCAGUAGCUGGCAGAACCUGGAGUCACCACUGUAUGGGACAGCUGUUCCAUUUGGGUUACAACUGGAAUGGUUGAUUACAGCAGGAUCUUACCAAGUAGUGACAUUGGAGUUUCUAGAGGUGGAUUUGCCUACAAGCAGUUCCCUUCAAGUUUAUGACGGAGAAGACUUAAUGGCAUCUCAAGUUUUCACAUUAAAUAAAAAUCCUUUGCAUCCCAUCUACAUAUCUAGAAGCAAAUCUGUUAGAGUUGUGUUAUCAACAGAUGAGCAUGAGUACACCAAGUAUCGAGGAUUUCAUCUCAAAUACAAGGAAGGUUGUAAUAUUGAGAUGAAUCAACAAGGAACUAUCUAUUCACCUGGUUAUAAAGUUGGCAGCUAUCCUUCCAAUGUCACAUGUGCCUGGAUUCUUACACGAAAUACAGGAGAAGCUAAACCCAUUUCUCUACGAUUCACAGAAUUUAAAGUUAAAAGCAAUUCUGAUUACGUAGAGCUUUACAAUUACACUGCCGGUACAGCAUUGCACAAGGGUAGUGGGCUGACAGGCACUUCUGAUAUAACUGAAAUAUUUAGCUCUACCAAUGGAUACCUCAAUGUGACCUUCAAGUCCAAUCUGGUAUUGGUUGAAAAAGGAUUCAAGGCCGAGUUCUCUGUUGACUGUCCCAUUUUAACUCUCUCACAAUGGACGAUAAAUUCAGUAACGGAUAAAUACACAGCCCUUAACACAGAAAUUAAACUGUCCUGUCAACAAGGAUACUCAUUUAAACAAGAAGAAUACAACAGUGCAAAUUCUGUUGCUCUGAAAUGUUUACCUGGAGGAAAAUGGAAUGUGUCAAGAAUUCCUGACUGUCAAAUCACAUACUGCGGCAUUCCUCCAGCAAUUCAAAAUGGAAUAAUCAUUAGUACGACAGGCGCAAAGGUUGGAGAUAAUGUAUCUUACAAAUGCUAUACAGGGUUUACUCUUGGGGGGUCAUCCACCACUCGAUGUCAAGAAAAUGGACACUGGGAUAUACCGCCAAUGUGCUAUUCUCAACAAUGCAGCACAAUAAGUUAUCUAACCAAUGGAAAUGUUAACAUUACUGAAGGAAGUGGGACUGAUUUUGCGUCUGUGUUGAUGUUUAGCUGUGAUCCAGGAUAUGAUCUUCUUGGGUCUGUGUACAUCCACUGUAGGUCAAAUGGCACAUGGUCACAUUCCAAACCUUCUUGUACAGAGUUGACUCUGAUGGUGAUGUUAAGUAUAAAGAGAUAGCCAAGCUGAAGUGUGAUGCCGGGUUCAUUCUAAAUGGUACAACUUUAUCUGAAAAAAAUGUGACUUGUGGUAGUGAUGCUCUGUUUUCUGGAUUGGAUCCGUGUGUUAGGAGAAAUUUUGGGGAGAAUCGUAAUGAUUGUCCAGGAUACUGUAAUAUGACGUACACUGCAGAAACUUUUGAUAAAAUUGAUGAAUGUGAAUGUAUAUGUACUGCUGGAUAUACAGGCAUUAAUUGCACGGAAAAGGUUGAUGAAUGUGCCAGUUACCCUUGUAAGCAUGGGGCCACCUGUACAGACCGUGUCAAUGACUACCACUGUAACUGUACAGAGGGAUGGACAGGCAAGAACUGUGACCAGCAAAUCGACUAUUGUACAACUACCUCUAACAAGUGUCAGAGUGGGAAAUGUUUCAACUUGAUUGAUGAUAAAUACUGCAGAUGCAGUCCUGGAACAAGAGGUAAUACAUGUGAAGACAUUCCAGAUGUGUGCAAUAUUAUCAAUCCAUGUUCAACAAUGGGUGCAUGUAGACAUUUAUAUGGGACAGCAAUAUGUUCCUGCCAGAUUAACUACUCUGGAAAAUCUUGUCAGCUAUUGAGAGACUUCUGCACUGGAUCUACCACAUGUCUAUAUAUGGGCAUGCCUGGUACUGGAGGGACGUGUACUAAUCUGGAGAGUGGAGGGUACAACUGCCAGUGUCAGACAGGUUAUUCAGGAGCCACAUGCCAAACUAAGACAACCCUUUGCUCAACCCUGAAUUGUGGAAGUAUUGCUCAGUGCAAUGAGGAGAUUGGUUGUUACUGUCCAGAAGGGAAAAUCCUGACGGACAACAAAGCAUGCAAACUACCUUCCAAUGACUUUGAUAUGUUGUUUGACCCUCAGAUAGGCGAUGAGGGAGCCUAUACCACCGCUGUUCUGAAUGAUCCUGAUAACAGUGAUUUGUCAUUCAUGUUAUGGGUCAGGUUUAAUAAGGAUCAAAAGGAUAUUGAUAACACUGUGAUCUUGAAGUUGGGGUUCAAAGUUGAAAUUGGUAAGAAAUUUGGAGGCCGUAUCUCACAAGUAAAAAUAUGGGCAAAUAGUUUAACAAUCAAUGAUGUUUACCAGCUUGAUGAGAACAAGGAUUACAAUCCAUCUGGAUCAACUGUUGUUCACGGUUGGUACAACUAUAGAAUGAACAAAGGAGUUGUUAAAAAGAGUCCUACACAGAUUGAGAAGGAGGUGUGUGAUGUUCCUGCCUGUUCAUCAUCAGAUAAGAUCAAACCAAAAAUCAAGGAUUGUGCAAAUGAUGUCACAAAAUACUCUGCUGACAGAAUCUUUGCACAUUCACUUCCAAAGUUUACCGACAUGUUCGAAGAUUUCAAUGAAAGUUUGUCUUUGUCUUCACAGUCUGAAGGCAAUACCUUCACAUGGGGUGAUUACAGUCUACUGUUCAUGGCCUCUGAUGAUAAUGGAAAUACAGCUAUGUGCCACAGCAAGUUGUAUGUUAGAUAUAAUGAUGAAUGUCCUGCCCCAAGAACCUCUUCACAAAAGGAUUACUGCUCUGUUUCCAGCAAAGAUAUUUGUAAACUGGAAUGUCCUAGUAAUCAAGAGUUAUCUCUACCUGCUCCCAAAUAUAUACCUUGUUCAGAGCUUGGUGUGUACAAUCCACUUAAACCUCAAGAGAAAAUUGUGUUGCCUUCUUGUGGAGAUAUCAUGUUAACAACAAUUCAGAUAGAUGUGUCAAUGGUGUAUUCUUUACAAGUUACCUGUAGUGAAACUUUUGAAAGAGUAAUGGAAACCAAGCUUAUGGCAGAUUUUAAGAAUGAGAUCUACCAGACUUGGAAUACUUUAUGUUCUUCAAGUGACUGUUCUGAUGUUUCCAUCAAACCUUCUUGUGUACCUGAUAGUAAACAAAUGAUAUUGGCAAUACAAAUAAAAAGUCUGAGUAACGAGAUCACAAGGAGAUCUGAUGGAUCAGAAAAGUAUACACCUAAAGAGGUCCUAAGAGUUUUGAUAUUUGAAGAGGAUGCAUUUGAUGCUAAGGACAUUGGUGGAGCAAUGAUACUGAAUGAUCAAGUAGUCAUAACUGACACAGUCUCCUGUCCUGCUGGUUACAUGGUGAUUGGAGACAACUGUGUUGCAUGUAGCACGGGAUCUUUUUACAAUAGUACCAGUCAGAACUGUGAAUUCUGUCCUGUCGGAAGUUAUGGAAGUUCAACUGGAUUAAAAGAAUGCAAUGGCUGUGGUUCUGGUAAAACUACACUCGGAGUUGGUUACACAUCCUAUGCUAAUUGUGUUGAUGGUUGUCCUGUUGGGAAGUUUUGGGAUGGUUCAAAAUGUUCUCUCUGCUUAAAGCACUACUAUCAGAACAUGACCGGCAAAGAUUACUGCUCUCCUUGUCCACUUGGUAAAAAAACGAGUGGUAUGGGCUCCAACAGCUCUUCACAAUGUUUUGAUGACUGUCCAGAAGGAAAAGAGCUAAAACCGGACGGAAAAUGUGUCAUAUGUUCUCGUGGAUAUUAUCGCAGCUUUUUGGAGGAUGUCUGCAUGGAAUGUCCGGCAGGAAACACAACAGAGGGGACUGGGAGCACUAGUAAAGACAGCUGUUAUAUGACUAUAUGUUAUAAUGGAACAUAUCGCAACAAAACAACAAAUGUCUGUGACCCAUGUCCAGUCGGAGAAUAUCAACCAGACGAUCUGCAAGAGGAAUGUAUCAAAUGUCCAGCAAAAUAUUCUACAGAAUCAGCUGGAAAGAAUAACCAAACAGAUUGUAAAUUUUACUGUCCGAAGGGAUAUGAGAUCCUGUCGGCGGCUAGUGAGACCUGUCAGCCUUGUUCUAGAGGAUUCUACAAGGACAAUUCUAAUGUGUUCGGUAGUUGUGUAUCAUGUUCAACUGGUAAGACAACAGAGAAAAUGAAUUCCACCAGCAUAGAAAGUUGUUCUAUAAGUAAAUGUAGCAGUGGACAAGAGAUAGAUUCCACAGGCGGGUGUUCUGAUUGUGAACUAAAUUCGUAUCAGCCUGUAAAUAUACCAACGUCCACAGACAAAUGUUUAUCAUGCAAGGACAACUAUGGCACAAAACAGAAAAUGUCUAAUAAGUCAUAUGAUUGUCUACCCAUGUGCCUUGGAGGACGCUUUUUUAAUCAAACAUCAACGAUGUGUGAAAGAUGUCCCAAAGGAAGCUGGAACAAUGGAAACUUCACAAUGAAGUUUGAGGAAUGUGUGGCCUGUCCUGUCAAAUUUACCACAACGGGACCAGGAAUGAUAUCAGAGGAUAACUGCACUCUGUUGAACUGUGAUCCUGGAUCCUACAUAAGUGGUACAGAUUGUCUGUUGUGUGAUUAUGGUUAUUACCAGCCGGCCCGUCACCAGAAGUCUUGCAUACAGUGUGGAACCAAUCUUAAUACCAGCACACAGGGUGCUUCCAUACAGGGAGAAUGUCAACUAUUCUGUGGGGCUGGGCUAGAAGGACACUAUAGUUGUACUCCCUGCAAGGAAGGGUUUGUCAAAGGUGGCUCAGGAACUUUUAUGUGUCAGGAGUGUACAGGCAACUUAACAUCCAAUGAUGCUCGCACUGAAUGUACUGAAUUGUUCUGUGACAAGGGAUAUUACAGUAAUGCUCAUCAAAACAGCUGCAUGCCUUGUGAUAUUGGAUAUUUUAAAAAGGACAGAGGAAAUGCGCUAAAAUGUACCAGAUGUCCAGAUGGAUUUUUGACUCCAAACAUUGCUUCAACUUCUGCAGAAAAUUGCAAUGAACCUUUUUGCAUUCCUGGCCACUACCUGAACUCCGGCGACGUUUGUGUACCAUGUAUGAUAGGUUUCUAUAAAGAUGUGACAGGAAAUGGGAAUUGUACAGCCUGUCCAGCAAAACUUACCACACCAUUGAUGGGUUCUACUGAACUCUCUAACUGUUCCAUUGUUUUUUGUAAUGCUGGUGAAAAGAGGAUUAGCAGCAAUAACACUUGUAUGAAAUGUCCUUUGGGGUAUUACCAGCCAAACAGAGGAGAAAGUGUAUGUAUUGAAUGUGGUGAUGGCAAGACCACGGAACAAGUGGGGACUUACUCCAAGACAGGCUGUAUACCCAUUUGUCCUGCUGGAGAGGAAUAUGUGUCUACCAGUAAAACAUGCACAGAAUGUCCCCUAGGAAGUUACAAGUCAGAAAUAGGCAACAACAAAACCUGUACCACAUGUCCAAUUGCAUAUACAACAGGAUUCACUGGUUCUAUAUCUGUCAACAACUGCUCUUUUCGAGAAAUGUUAAAAAGAGUUUUCUUUUUCAUAGAAUUUUGUUUACCUGGCCAACAGUAUGAUAGGACUACAGCGACUUGUCAAUACUGCCCAAAGGAUUUCUACACAAACAAAACCAUUUCCCAGUACUGCAUCAAGUGUCCCGCCGGAUACAUCACAUAUGGAGAGGGAUCUGAUUCCUGUGUCAGGCUGGCAAUACAAGACACAGGAAUAACACAAGCCCCAGCAGAACCUGUACAGAAGACCUAUACAUUCAAUUUAAGAUACAUGGCUACGGUGGACUGUAGCAAAAUAUGUCCUGCUGGAUCAUACCAUCAUAGCACAAGCAACCAAUGCAUGAACUGUUCACAGAACACCUAUCAGGACCAGGCUGGGAAAACAAGCUGUAAAAGUUGUCCAGGGAGUAUAAACAAGUACAUCCCAUCCACAGGCUCAAGAUCAAAGAGUGACUGUGUGUCGGUUGCAAAUACAACGUCCAACAAUGGGUCAGAAAUGUUUUUCCAUUACUAUUACAUCGCAGUUGGGAGCGCUAUCUUUGUGCUGGUUGUUGCUAUCUCAGUUGUAUUUGGCCGGGUGUUUUGCAGACGUAAAGCGAAUAAACCCAAAAGGUACUACUAUGAAAAUCCCUUGACAACUAGGCCCAGGCCAGAGGAUAGCUAUACGGGACUGUCGAAUUCUGGAGAUUAUGCCACAAUCGACGAAAUGAGGGAGAGCAUGAAUAUGAGGACCUUCCGUGGGUCCACAGCCUCCAGUGAUAUUUAUCUUACCCCGCGUGGCCAUCGAAACUAGGAUACAAAAAAAUUUCAUAUGCUGAGUUCGAUCAAGCCAAGAAUCCGCAUCUGUAUGCAAAUUGAAUGAUGUAUAUUACUCAGAAUUUAAACUUAAAAGCAAUUCUGAUUACGUAGAGGUUUAUAAUGACACUGCCGGUACAGCAUUGCACACAGGAAGUGGGCUGACAGGCACUUCUGACAUUACUGAAAUAUUUAGUUCUACCGAUGGAUAUCUCAAUGUGACCUUCAAGUCCAAUCUGGUAUUGGUUGAAAAAGGAUUCAAGGCUGAGUUCUCUGUUGACUGCCCCAUGCUAACUCUCUCACAAUGGACGAUAAAUUCACUUACGGAUAAAUACACAGCCCUUAACACAGAAAUUGAAUUGUCCUGUCAACCAGGAUACUCAUUUAAACAAGAGGAGUACAACAUGGAAAGUUCUAUUGCUCUGAAAUGUUUACCUGGAGGAAAAUGGAAUGUGUCAAGAAUACCUGACUGCCAGAUUACAUACUGUAGCACACCCCCAGCAGUUCCAAAUGGAAUCCUUAAAAAUGCAACAGGUGGUAAGGUAGGAGAUAAUGCAACAUAUGAAUGCAAUGGUGGCUUCACUCUUAGUGGAUCAGCCACCAUCCAAUGUCAAGAGAAUGGAAUGUGGGAGGCUCAACCAAGCUGCAGUGCUCAACAAUGCAGCCCAAUAAGUGAUCCAGCCAAUGGAAAUAGGAACAUUACUGAAGGAAGUGGGACUGAUUUUGCUUCGGUGUUGAUGUUUAGCUGUGACCCAGGAUAUGAUCUUCUAGGGUCUGUGUACAUCCACUGUAGGUCAGAUGGUACAUGGUCACAUCCCAAACCUUCUUGUACAGAGAUAAAAUGUCCCUUACCACAAGUGAUGUAUGGUAAAGUUGAAUCAGGUGGUGAUGUUAAGUAUAAAGAGACAGCCAAGCUGAAGUGUGAUGCUGGGUUCAUUGUAAAUGAUACAACUUUAACUGAAAAAGAUGUGACCUGUGGGAGUGAUGCCAUGUUUUCUGGAUUGGAUCCAUGUGUCAACAAGGAUGAAUGUUCAGCCAAUGAAUGUGGAUCUGUUUCCAACACAAUUUGUGUAGAUACAAUUGGUUCUUAUUUCUGCAAGUGCAAAGAUGGUUUUUCACGAUCAGGCUCAUCAGGACCAUGUGGAGAUAUUAAAGAAUGUGCGGUUAGUAAUGGAGGAUGCAGCGGUGAAUGUAUUAAUGACUCUGAUGGCUCAUAUUCUUGCUCCUGUGGGGCAGGUUAUGAAUUGUAUGCUUAUCCUGACUUUAACAACAUUAGCUUAGCAGAUGGAGAAACGGGAACAAGAGCAGGGGAUAAAAUAAGAAUUAACCAUACCUGUGUCAGAGUUCAAUGCCCUACACCAGUAUCUCCAAUGAAAGGAAAGAUUCUGAGCAACAAGGAACUUUUCUAUUACGAGGAUGAGAUAUCCGUGGAAUGUGAUCAUGGUUAUUUCAUAGCACCUUCCUCACGUUCCCGUGUACUGAAAUGUGAAAACUCAGGACAGUGGUCUGCUAACAUGCCAAACUGUACAAUGGGGAGCUGUAUGAUUCCUGCAUUGAGUUCGGAUCCAAAUUACAACAGAAUUAUUCCAAAUGACACAAGCGUGGACUUUGGUACUGAUGUUACCAUUGAAUGCAGAUAUGGAACUGGUUUUCGUAAUCUAUCCUUGUACUGUGGGGAAAGUGGUGUGGCAACCUACACACUGCUGGGAGAUAAUCUCACCUGUCCAGUGAUUGAUUGUGGGACCCCAGAGGAAGUACCAGGCGCUGAAGAUUUCAUCUUUACUGACACUCUCUAUGCCAGUAGCUUUAACUUUAGUUGUAAGACUGGCUCAGUGCGUAGUGGAGUCUCAGUAAGUGGAGACUAUACUGUCACUUGUCGGGAGAACAGAAGAUGGGGUUUUGGAAAUCUCACAUGCACAGUGGGGCGCUGUAAAGAUCCUGGAACACCAGGGGGAGCUGUUCAAGAAGUGAAGAGUUAUGAGGCAGGGCAGCUGCUCAGUUUCAGGUGUUUACGUUCAGGAUAUGAACCAGUCCCGUCAGCACCAUUAAUGUGUCAACAGGGUGUUAACAUUUCUGAAUGGAAUAGCACAUCUUUACCAUUAUGUACAGAUGUAACUCCACCAAAAUUCAGUAACUGCCCAAAUAUGCUAUUUUAUGUUGACAAAAUGGAAGCCACUGAUUUUGUUGUUCCAACUGCUUCGGAUAAUUCGGGCUUGGUAAAAAAUGUGACUGUGAUGCCUUUCAACUUUAAACCCGGAACUGUGGUGUCUGAGGAUGUGAAUGUCACCUACACAGCAGUAGAUAACAGUGGGAACUCGGCUACCUGUACAAUAUCAUUCAUCAUCAAAGAUCGUUCACCACCCGGAUUGAGAUGUCCUUUGUUUCUUGAAGAGACAAUUAACACACCAGCAGGAAUCACAGUUGACCUAAAUCAUACUGUAACUACUGGAGCAACAUUUUACCCUAAUCAGUUUAUAUCGCUCAAUCCCUCAACACUUAAUGGACCACGCCAAGUCAAUGCAACAUUGCAGGACAAAUGGGGGACAUCAGAUACAUGUACAUUUUUGAUUUACACCAAAGCUGAAGUGUGCUUCAAGGAAAGCUUACCAUCUGUAGCUAAUGCUGUUAGGAGUUGUGUUUCUCCAGCGGAGAAUGUAACAUGUACCUAUGUUUGUAAAGCUGGAUAUGUGUACUUUGAUGGAACUACUACCAAACAAUACCAUUGCUCAGGAGCCAAUAACUGGUCUCCCUCAGCUAGUCCUGAAGAUUGCCUUAAGUAUGAGACUCCAUCUUACAAGGCAAAGUUAGAAGUUAGUUACACAACUGAAGACACUCUGGCAUCUAAUUGUAUACUUGGUUUUGAAAAUAUGCUGGUUACAUAUAACACAACAAUAGCAAAAGCUAUAGAUGACAAGUGUACAGAUUUGAACCCAGGGAAAUUUGCCAUUAGAAGUUUCACCUCCACAAAAUUAUCAUUCAAGAUAACAACUGUCAUAAGUGGAGAGUUUAUUGGAGAUGGAUUAAAAUCUGCAAGGGAUACUUGCAUCAACUUUAUAACCAUUAUAAAACCAUCAUUUAUUUUACCUGUCUCAUCUAUUACGUGUUCAGGCAAUCCUGACCAAGCCAACUUUACAGUAGAGAGUAUUGGUAGCUCUGAAGCAGGAAACAACUGUAAUGACAACAUGGUACUUGUGAGCAAUCGCUGUGUGAAAUGUCCACAGGGAAGGUAUUUCAGUGGAACUGCUUGUUUGAUGUGUGAAGAUGGACAUUAUCAAGACUUAAAAGGACAGACAUCUUGUAAAUCUUGUGGUGGAAAUUCAGUAUCAAGUGUUGAUAAAACAACUUGUAUUGCAAAAUGUCCACCAGGUUUUACAUCUGAGGAUGGAAUGAAAAACUGUAGACCAUGCGGCAAAGAUAAGUAUUGGGUAAAUGCAACUACCUGUGAUGAUUGUCCCGCUGGUUCUAUAACAGACGUGAUGAAUGGUGUUCCUGAUGUAGAAGGCUGUAAAGCUCCUUGUCCUCCUGGGAAAUAUUCUUUAACUGGGCAUGAACCAUGUCAAGAGUGUCCACUCCAUUACUACCAAAAUGGUGUGGGAAAAACAACUUGUACCGAAUGUGAUGAAAGUGAAAGAACUGAAGGUGUUGGCCAUAACAGUUCGAGUUCUUGUGUCUCUAUAGAUAAAAUGGAAUGUAACAGUACAACGUUGAAAGACUGUAUCAAUGGAAUGUGUCACGUCCUAAACCAUGAAGCAGUUUGCAUUUGUGAUGAAGGUUACAGUGGUGCUUCCUGUGAGACCCCUCUUGAUGUGUGUCAGUCCAACCCCUGCUUUAAUGGAGGAACUUGUGUACCAAAUGGAGACAGCUUUAACUGCACUUGCCCGUCAAACAAAGUUUGUAAAAUGCAGAAACUAUCAGGAAAUAAUGUUGUUAAAGAUGUAGAUGUUGAAAGAGCAUUUAAAAAAUCCCUUAGUGACUGUGAAAGUGAAUGUUUGAAUGAUGAAAAGUGCCAGGCCAUGUAUUAUGCCAAUGGGUUCUGCUUCAUUGUGUACAAGGACGUCCCUCCUGAACCAUACACUAAUCCAGCUUUAUACUAUGACAAAGUCUGUAAUCACACAUACAGGUUCAGUGAUAAACAGUGUGAAACUGACUUGAUCAAUGAAUGUGCACCGGACACAUGUAGCGCUCAAGGAAUGUGUCAAGACAGAGCAGAGAUAAAACCAGUUUGUCUGUGUCCCAUUGUGGGAGAAUACUCUCAACCAAAAUGUGAUGUUGUACAGAAUUUGUGUAAUCCAAAUCCAUGUCAGAAUGGAGCUGAAUGUAGAUCAUGGGGUGCCAUCAGAAGACAGUGUAUCUGUAGGCCUGGCUACACAGGAGUCAACUGUUCUUUUAACAUAGAUGAUUGUGGAUUAAAUAGAGAUGGUUGUCUGUAUAAUGGAGAAUGUGAGGAUGGAGUUGACUCCUACACAUGUAAGUGUGUGUCAAACUUCGAUGGAAGACACUGUCAGGUCACCAGAGAUCUCUGUAGUGGAACACCAUGCUCAAACGGAGGCUGUGUUAACAACUAUGCUAAUGCUACAUACAAAUGUUUCUGUGAUUACCCAUACCAAUUAGGUAGCAAUGGUCAGUGUGAGAUGAUGGAUUUAUGCAACACUACCAACUGUAACAAUGGAACAUGUCUGAAUGGAAAGUGUAGUUGUGUGGAUGGAUAUGAGGGGUCACUCUGUCAACACAGUGUGGAUGAGUGCAAGACCAGCCCCUGUAAAAAUGGAGGGACAUGUGUGGAUGGACAUAACGACUACAGUUGUGAAUGUCUCUCUGGAUUCACUGGAAAAGAUUGUGAGGAGAAUCGUAAUGAUUGUCCAGGAUCUUGUAAUAUGACGUACACUGAAAGGACUGUUGAUAAGAUUGACGAAUGUGAAUGUAUAUGUAAAGCUGGAUAUACAGGCACUAAUUGCAUGGAGGAGAUUGAUGAAUGUGCCAGUUAUCCUUGUAAGCAUGGAGCCACCUGUACAGACCGUGUCAAUGAUUACCACUGUAACUGUACAGAGGGAUGGACAGGCAAGAACUGUGACCAGCAAAUCGACUAUUGUACAACCACCUCUAACAAGUGUCAGAGUGGGAAAUGUUUCAACUUGAUUAAUGAUAAAUACUGCAGAUGUAGUGCUGGUACAAGAGGUGAUACAUGUGAAGACAUACCAGAUGUGUGCAAUGUUGUCGACCCAUGUACAACAAUGCAGGGUUCAUGUAGAAAUUUAAAUGGAACAUCAGACUGUUCCUGCAAGAUUAACUACUCUGGAAACUCUUGUCAGCUACUGAAAGACUUCUGCACUGGAUCUACCACAUGUCUAUAUAUGGGCAUGCCUGAUACUGGAGGGACGUGUACUAAUCUGGAGAGUGGAGGGUACAACUGCCAGUGUCAGACAGGUUAUUCAGGAGCCACAUGCCAAACUAAGACAACCCUUUGCUCAACCCUGAAUUGUGGAAGUAGUGCUCAGUGCAAUGAGGAGAUUGGUUGUUACUGUCCAGAAGGGAACAUCCUGACUGACAACAAAGUAUGCAAAGAACCUUCAAAUAACUUCGAUAUGUUGUUUGACCCUCAGAUAGGCGAUGAGGGAGCCUAUACCACUGCUGUUCUGAAUGAUUCCGAUAACAGUGAUCUGUCAUUCAUGUUAUGGGUCAGGUUUAAUGAGGAUCAAAAGGAUAUUGAUAACACUGUGAUCUUGAAGUUAGGAGAUUUUGCAGAAGUAAAAAAUGACUCAAUCACGGUGUGGAAUACAACAAACAACUUUGUGGUAGAUUUUACAAUCUUUGGAAAACCAAUUGAAAUGGAUGAUGGCAAGUGGCAUGUUAUUGUGUGUUCUUGGAAACGAAAUGGAGAAUCAUUAGUUGCUGUGGAUGGUGUCAAAGUCUUUGAAGAAACGUCUCUUCCAGGAAUAUUGCCCAAAGUGUUCAAAGUUGAAAUUGGUAAGAAAUUUGGAGGUCGUAUCUCACAAGUAAAACUAUGGGCAAAUAGUUUAACAAUCAGUGAUGUUUACCAGCUUGAUGAGGAUAAGAAUUAUGUGCCACCUGGAUCAACUGUUGUUCAUGGUUGGUACAACUAUAGAAUGAACAAAGGAGUUGUUAAAAAGAGCCCUUCACAGAUUGAGAAGGAGGUGUGUGAUGUCCCUGCCUGUUCAACAUCAGAUAAGAUUAAACCAAAAAUAAAGGAGUGUUCAAAAGAUGUUUCAAUACACUCUGCUGCCAGAAUCUUCUCACAUUCACUUCCAAAGUUUACUGACAUGUUUGAUGAUUUCAAUGAAAGUUUGUCUUUGUCUUCACAUAAAGGCAGUACCUUCACAUGGGGUGAUUACAGUUUACUGUUCAUGGCCUCUGAUGAUAAUGGCAAUACAGCUAUGUGCCACAGCAAGUUGUAUGUUAGAUAUAAUGAUGAAUGUCCUGCUCCAAGAACAUCUUCAACAGUUAAAUACUGUUCUGGUUCCAGUGGAGAUAUUUGUAAACUGGAAUGUCCUAGUAAUCAACGGUUAUCUCUACCUGCUCCAAAAUAUAUACCUUGUUCAGAGCUUGGUGUGUACAAUCCACUUAAACCUCAAGAGAAAACUGUUUUGCCUUCAUGUGGAGAUAUCAUGUCAACAACAAUUCAGUUAGAUGUGUCAAUGGUGUAUUCCUUACAAACUACCUGUAAUGAUAUUUUUGAGGGAUCAAUUGAAACCAAGCUUAUGGCAGAUUUUAAGGAUAAGAUCUACCAAACUUGGAAUACUUUAUGUUCUUCAAGUGACUGUUCUGAUGUUUCCAUCAAACCUUCUUGUGGACCUGGUAGUAAACAAAUGAUGAUGGCAAUACAAAUAAAAAGACUGAGUAAUGAGAUCACAAGGAGAUCUGGUGGAUCAGAAAAGUAUACACCUAAAGAGGUCCUAAGAGUUUUGAUAUUUGAAGAGGAUGCAUUUGAUGCUAAGGACAUUGGUGGAGCAAUGGUACUGAAUGAUCAAGUAGUCAUAACUGACACAGUCUCCUGUCCUGCUGGUUACAUGGUGAUUGGAGACAACUGUGUUGCAUGCAGCAUGGGAACAUUCUACAACAGUACCAGUCAGAACUGUGAAAUCUGUCCAGUUGGAACUUACGGAAGUUCUACUGGAUUAACCGACUGUACAAUCUGUGGAUCAGGCAAAACUACACUCGGUGUCGGUUAUACAGCCAGUGGUGAAUGUGUUGGUAAGUCCUGAUAAAAUGCUGUUUGUUUAUCUGUUAAUU
rnacentral:sRNA from 1 species